AUUGAACGCUGGCGGCAGGCUUAACACAUGCAAGUCGAGCGGAGAUGAGGUGCUUGCACCUUAUCUUAGCGGCGGACGGGUGAGUAAUGCUUAGGAAUCUGCCUAUUAGUGGGGGACAACAUUCCGAAAGGAAUGCUAAUACCGCAUACGUCCUACGGGAGAAAGCAGGGGAUCUUCGGACCUUGCGCUAGUAGAUGAGCCUAAGUCGGAUUAGCUAGUUGGUGGGGUAAAGGCCUACCAAGGCGACGAUCUGUAGCGGGUCUGAGAGGAUGAUCCGCCACACUGGGACUGAGACACGGCCCAGACUCCUACGGGAGGCAGCAGUGGGGAAUAUUGGACAAUGGGGGGAACCCUGAUCCAGCCAUGCCGCGUGUGUGAAGAAGGCCUUAUGGUUGUAAAGCACUUUAAGCGAGGAGGAGGCUACUGAGACUAAUACUCUUGGAUAGUGGACGUUACUCGCAGAAUAAGCACCGGCUAACUCUGUGCCAGCAGCCGCGGUAA
rnacentral:rRNA from 1 species